CAAUAGCGUAUAUUAAAGUUGUUGCAGUUAAAAAGCUCGUAGUUGGAUUUGUGGCGUACGGUGUGUUCCGGGCACUUGUUGUCUGAGUAACCUGCUGUUGCCAUCCUUGGGUGGAACCUGUGUGGCAUUAGGUUGUCGUGCAGGGGAUGCCCAUCAUUUACUGUGAAAAAAUUAGAGUGUUCAAAGCAGGCUUAUGCCGUUGAAUAUAUUAGCAUGGAAUAAUGAGAUAGGACUUUUUUGCUAUUUUGUUGGUUUGCGCAAAGAGGUAAUGAUUAAUAGGGACAGUUGGGGGUAUUCGUAUUCCAUUGUCAGAGGUGAAAUUCUUAGAUUACCGAAAGACAAACUGCUGCGAAAGCGUCUGCCAAGGAUGUUUUCAUUGA
rnacentral:rRNA from 1 species